CGGAAUGUAGCACAGCUUGGUAGUGCACUAGCUUCGGGAGUUAGGGGUCGUGGGUUCAAAUCCCAUCAUUCCGACCA
rnacentral:tRNA from 1 species